GACAAGGUUAUAAAGACAUGAAUAAACACAAUUUUUAAACAUGUUUGUUUUUCCUUCCGCAGUUGCCUAAUGACAGUGUUUACAUUGGGUUAGAUGGUUCUGAGCAUACAGUCUGUGUAAGGUAAUACCAACAAAACACUCCUGUGAGCAGACAGCUAGAGAACUGUAAAUGUUCAGCUUCUAAAAGGACAAAUUUAUUACUUUCACCUUUGGGAGGUAGAAGUGGAAUCCUUCCUGCAGUUGUGCCUCAACUCAUUGUAUCAGCUAAGAGUAUACAAUCAGGUAAGUCUCUAAAGACUACAUGAAUAAAGUGCCAGCUCUGAAAGAAUACAGCUGAAAUCUGUGUUGACUUGGGCAAUCAUUCAAGAAAUCAGUCCUGCUAUGUUUAUAUCUGCUCCCUUCCUAUUAGGCCUUGAAAGUAAUGUGUGAGGACUGGCACAGAAAAUACCAAAGAGCCAUGGCUUAACAAACAAACCACACAAUCCUUUGUAAGAUUUGAAAGACUCAUUUUAACUUGCAGUGUAAUUCCAACUUGAAACAUUGUGCCAUAGCUGUAAUGUCAUCAUAUGCAUUGAUGUUUACUUAGGAAAAAAAUAAGUGGAAGAACUGGGGAAGAAAAUAUGAUUUAAGCCAGGCCAAAUGGAAAUUCUUUCAAGUAUUGUACUCAGUGGUUUAAUUCACCUAUAAGAAACAAGAAAGUGAGAAGUGUUUAAG
rnacentral:lncRNA from 14 species